CCUACGGGAGGCAGCAGUGGGGAAUAUUGCACAAUGGGCGAAAGCCUGAUGCAGCGACGCCGCGUGAGGGAUGACGGCCUUCGGGUUGUAAACCUCUUUCAGCAGGGAAGAAGCGAGAGUGACGGUACCUGCAGAAGAAGCGCCGGCUAACUACGUGCCAGCAGCCGCGGUAAUACGUAGGGCGCAAGCGUUGUCCGGAAUUAUUGGGCGUAAAGAGCUCGUAGGCGGCUUGUUGCGUCGGUUGUGAAAGCCCGGGGCUUAACCCCGGGUCUGCAGUCGAUACGGGCAGGCUAGAGUGUGGUAGGGGAGAUCGGAAUUCCUGGUGUAGCGGUGAAAUGCGCAGAUAUCAGGAGGAACACCGGUGGCGAAGGCGGAUCUCUGGGCCAUUACUGACGCUGAGGAGCGAAAGCGUGGGGAGCGAACAGGAUUAGAUACCCUGGUAGUCCACGCCGUAAACGUUGGGAACUAGGUGUUGGCGACAUUCCACGUCGUCGGUGCCGCAGCUAACGCAUUAAGUUCCCCGCCUGGGGAGUACGGCCGCAAGGCUAAACUUAAAUGAAUUGACGG
rnacentral:rRNA from 1 species